GUUUGAUCCUGGCUCAGAUUGAACGCUGGCGGCGUGCUUAACACAUGCAAGUCGAACGAGAAAGUUCCUUCGGGAAUGAGUAAAGUGGCGCACGGGUGAGUAACGCGUAGGUAAUCUACCCCUAUAUUCGGGAUAACAUCGGGAAACCGGUGCUAAUACCGGCUACGCUCUUUUCAAUGCGAAUUAGAAAGAGGAAAGGUGACCUCUCGACGAAGUUGCCGUAUGGGGAUGAGCCUGCGUACCAUUAGCUAGUUGGUGGGGUAACGGCCUACCAAGGCGACGAUGGUUAGCGGGUCUGAGAGGAUGAUCCGCCACACUGGGACUGGAACACGGACCAGACUCCUACGGGAGGCAGCAGUGAGGGAUUUUGCGCAAUGGGGGCAACCCUGACGCAGCGACGCCGCGUGAGUGAUGAAGGCCUUAGGGUCGUAAAACUCUGUCAGCAGGGAAGAAAUGUCAUGUGGUUAAUACCCAUGUGGUUUGACGGUACCUGCAAAGGAAGCACCGGCUAACUCCGUGCCAGCAGCCGCGGUAAUACGGAGGGUGCGAGCGUUAAUCGGAAUUACUGGGCGUAAAGGGCGCGUAGGCGGCCUGUCAAGUCAGAUGUGAAAGCCCACGGCUUAACCGUGGAAGUGCAUUUGAAACUGUCAGGCUUGAGUAUCAGAGGGGAAAGUGGAAUUCCCGGUGUAGAGGUGAAAUUCGUAGAUAUCGGGAGGAAUACCGGUGGCGAAAGCGACUUUCUGGCUGAAUACUGACGCUGAGCGC
rnacentral:rRNA from 1 species